UACGAAGGGGGCUAGCGUUGCUCGGAAUCACUGGGCGUAAAGGGCGCGUAGGCGGCCAUUCAAGUCGGGGGUGAAAGCCCAGGGCUCAACCCUGGAAUUGCCUUCGAUACUGUUUGGCUAGAGACCGGAAGAGGUAAGUGGAACUGCGAGUGUAGAGGUGAAAUUCGUAGAUAUUCGCAAGAACACCAGUGGCGAAGGCGGCUUACUGGUCCGGUUCUGACGCUGAGGCGCGAAAGCGUGGGGAGCAAACGGG
rnacentral:rRNA from 1 species